GAUGAACGCUAGCUAUAGGCUUAACACAUGCAAGUCGAGGGACCGGCGCACGGGUGAGUAACGCGUAUCCAACCUGCCCAUAACUAAGGGAUAACCCAGCGAACGUUGGACUAAUACCUUCUGGUUAUGGAUGGGGAUGCGUCUGAUUCGCUUGUUGGCGGGGUAACGGCCCACCCAGGCAACGAUCAGUAGGGGUUCGGAGAGGAAGGUCCCCCACAGUGGAACUGAGACACGGUCCAAAAUCCUACGGGAGGCAGCAGUGAGGAAUAUUGGUCAAUGGACGCAAGUCGGAACCAGCCAAGUAGCGGGCAGGAUGACGGCCUAUGGGUUGUAAACUGCUUUUAUAUGGGGAUAGGUACCAUAUGAAUAAGGACAGGCUAAUUCCGUGUCAGCAGCCGCGGUAAUAC
rnacentral:rRNA from 1 species